rnacentral:rRNA from 1 species
AUUGAACGCUGGCGGCAGGCCUAACACAUGCAAGUCGAACGAGUGGCGGACGGGUGAGUAAUGUCUGGGAAACUGCCUGAUGGAGGGGGAUAACUACUGGAAACGGUAGCUAAUACCGCAUACCAUCAGAUGUUCCCAGAUGGGAUUAGCUGGUAGUGUGGGUAACGCCUCACCUAGGCGACGAUCCCUAGCUGGUCUGAGAGGAUUACCAGCAACACUGGAAAUGCGUCACGGUCCAGAAUCCUACGGGAGUCAGCAGUGGGGAAUAGUGCACAAUGGGAACAAGCCUGAUGCAGCCAUGCCGCGUGUAUGAAGAAGGCCUUCGGGUUGUAAAGUACUUUCAGCGGGGAGGCGUUACCCGCAGAAGAAGCACCGGCUAACACCGUGCCAGCAGCCGCGGUAAUUC